rnacentral:misc_RNA from 1 species
GCAAACUUGGUCAUUUAGAGGAAGUAAAAGUCGUAACAAGGUUUCCGUAGGUGAACCUGCGGAAGGAUCAUUAACAAAUUCAAACACGCGUGUUCCCUUUCUCUCUCUCUCUCUCUCUUUCUUCUUUGCGGAAGAGGAGAGGGUGGGGGUUAAUAGGGUUAUCACACACAUACACACAUUUUGAUAGACACAACAACAUCAUCUUCUCUCACAUGAGAUGAUAAUGUGAUGAUACAAUAAAACAAUCGAGACAACUUUUAACAAUGGAUCUCUUGGCUCUUGCAUCGAUGAAGAACGCAGC